rnacentral:rRNA from 1 species
AAAACUUUCAACAACGGAUCUCUUGGUUCUGGCAUCGAUGAAGAACGCAGCGAAAUGCGAUAAGUAAUGUGAAUUGCAGAAUUUAGUGAAUCAUCGAAUAUUUGAACGCACAUUGCGCCCCUCGGUAUUCCGGGGGGCAUGCCUGUUCGAGCGUCAUU